rnacentral:rRNA from 1 species
UACGUAGGGUGCGAGCGUUGUCCGGAAUUAUUGGGCGUAAAGAGCUCGUAGGCGGUGUGUCACGUCGGCCGUGAAAACCUGCAGCUUAACUGUGGGCGUGCGGUCGAUACGGGCAUCACUGGAGUUCGGCAGAGGGAAGUGGAAUUUCGGGUGUAGCGGUGAAAUGCGUAGAUAUCCGAAGGAACAUCAGUGGCGAAAGCGACUUCCUGGACCAGAACUGACGAUCAGGCACGAAAGCGUGGGGAGCAAACAGG